CUAUAAGUACCUUUGCCCGUCCUCUCACACGAUCCCCUUCAAAAACCCUUUCUAAAACCCUCCACAGCCGCUGCCAUCUCCAUCCCGAUCUCGUUCUGUUCGCCGCCGUUCAUCGCCGCACCCGACGCCGGGGGCAAACCGAGCUCUUACGUCGACCACCGGAGCUACAGAGCGCCCAAACGCUGUCACCAUCGCCCUGCUCGUUUCCGUCAUCGCCAAGCGCGAACUCCACCACCCCCACGACGCCCUCGCUUCACCGCAUCCGUUCAGCCACUCCACCGACGCCCGCGACCACCGGAAUCGCCGCCCCGUUCGACGCCGACCGCCGCACCGUCGCCUCUAAUUCCCGGAGUGCGAGGACUGCUAUUACGAGUCGCUAGCUUUCGAAGACCGUCAGCAAG